CAGGGGUUACACCCCAUUGCCCACCCCGGGUCCUGCUGGGAGGUGAGGGCGGAACGCGGGGCGCGGGCUGCGGGACGCGGCGGAGCGGUGUUGGGGGUGCACCGCCGGGGGGGCGCUGUGAGCGACGGACGCGGCCCUGCGGAGCGAUGAGCGCGGCGGUGCUGUGCUUGAAAAAGGGAACAUUGCUAAAGCAAGUGUUUGCUCUCAGCCGAGCAGCAACACCCAGAGAAAGUUGUCUGUGUGCUGCAGGUGAUGCACUUGUGAGUUACCAAAGACACUACAGAUCCCGUCCUACGCAUGGCAUUGGGAAGUAUAAAUAUCUGCUCCCAAAGGAGGUAGGCACAAAGACCUUUCAGCUGACCCAUCC
rnacentral:lncRNA from 1 species